rnacentral:lncRNA from 1 species
UAAUAUUGUAAGUACGGGUUUGCACAUAGAAGCUGAUCAUGUGUCAGGAUCUUUGGCCCAAAUCUGAAAUGCUAAAGGCACUCACUUCUGGAAGAUGCUGAAACUUUAUUGAAUUAUGUUUUUACAAGCUUCUUUAUGAUUAUCUUUUAGGUAUUUUCUGAUCUAAUGUUGAAAAGCUAUUUAGUGUAACUGCAGUUAAGUGAUUUCAUCUCAAAUGUUUAUUUUGCUAUGCACAUCUCUUCCCCCUUUUCUUUUUUUAAUGUGAAGUGCUACAGCUUUACUUUAAGUUUAUAUGGAAAGCAACUAUACUUUAAGAAGUAUGCAGGAGGAUUUCCCAUGUCUGUAAACAUACUGGGUAGUUGAGCAUUUGCUGAAAUGAGCUGCCAAUUGUUUUCUGUCUUGUAAUACUCCUUUGUAGAUCUGCUGGUAUCUGGCUUGUCCCUGCUGCAUCUAUACAAUGCGUUCCUUCAUGUUUUGUGUAACAUCUUCCUCAGUCAUUUCUGUGUAUGUAAAUACAGAAACUGGAAAGAGAAAACUCUGUUUGUGAAUUGUCCCUCUUCCUGCCCUCACUUCUCCACCCCUCCAGCGUAGCUGGAAGGUUGGUCAUGAGCAGGAAGUGAGAACAAUAUUGAUCACUGGUAUCCAGGAAUUCUGAGGGGAAAGGGGGCAAAAAUGAGCACUGGAAAACAAUCUACGUGUUCUGACAACACAUUUAUGCUUUGAGACCCUUAGAAUGGGAGUGCUGUCGGUAGAAAAAGUAAAUGAAGACCUCGAGGUGUUGGUUGCAGAAGUAUCGAAGCUAACUGCCAUUGUAAGAGGCUUGGGUGUUGGUUUUGUGCCUUCUGUUACUUGUUCAGUUAUUUAAAUCACUCCUAAUAGUGGUUAGUGAGGUGCAAGCAGAGUGAAGCCUAAACCCAGAAGGGUUUUUGUGUAUUAUUUACCUUUAUUUUAGCUUGUCAAACUCAAAGCAGAGUUACAUUAAAACAAAGUAUCUUUCAGUGGUGACUUCUGUGACUGUAUAACUCCUGCCACAUGAGUGAUUACUGUUCAUUUCUGCACUUACUAUUUGCAAGUGCUGCAUGUUUGUGUCACAACGCUGUUUUCUAACACUGUUUCAAGUAAGAGAAGAACGUAAAAAAAGGUAAUUUAAAGUGAUGUAUUUAAUGGGAAGUAGUUCUAAGUUGCUCAACUGAGAAGAGAUGAGUACUGGCAUGUCUCAAAACUUGUUUUGUUCCCCAGGAGUUAAGCAUAGAGUGUUAUCUCCCUUUUAUUUGCACAGUAUCUCGCAUACCAGCAGAGCCUGGAAAUUCAUAAUGUUUAGCAAAAUGAGGAAAGAAAUCAAGAGUCACACAUUUUUGCUGUUGGCAGUGGUAGCCUGAUCAACAUUUACCCGUCAGCCUGCCACCUCCCGUAACUUAGACACUAGUUUUUAAAACCACUUUCUGCAGCCGUUAGUCCUCAGUUUCUGGUUGCCAAAUAUGUGUUUUCUUUUUUCUUCUUGCGCAAGCUUGUUGUUACUGCUGUGCUUAUAAGAGAGGGCUUAGCUGAGUUUUGGAGGUGUAUUUAGCAGCAGAUGUACUGCAUAUUGUCCUUUUUCUUGUGACAGUCCUUAAGAGUAUUUAAGUGUGUUAUUCAGCAUUUGAUGGGUGACCAAGCUAUUCUUUGUUUAUUUUCUGAAGCAUUGAACGUUUUGUUACAAAUGUAGGCUGAUAUUAUUACAGAUAAGUGAUUUUGUUCAUGGCUUUGAUGCUUAGUGUUGCUGUGAGAAAGAUCCCUGUGCAGGGUUCAACAAAUAAUUGUGGAGAGCAGCGGUUCCACUUUCUGUGCACGUGCUACCUAUUUUGUAAAUAAGCAUUGUAUGGCUGUUGGUCUUCCUUUUAAAAGCUAUCCUGUGCAUGGCUGACUUCAAAACUCUUAUAAAAGCUUAGGAAUUAAGUCAGUGUUGUAAACUAGAAACGUGAGGUAGACUUUCAGAAUUAUUUGGAAGAGGAAAAUACGUGUAUAUGAACUGAAGGAAUCUGAGUCAAAUAAGCAGGCUGUGCAGCUUUCCUGAGGUUUGUGAAAAAUCAAAAUGCAGUAACUUGUUAGACCUGUGUGAGGAGGAAUAGAGAACAUAUAUUUCUAGCCUGUCAUAGAACGGUGUGGAUUAACACAGAAGCAAGAAAAGAGCCUCAGAUGUUCUUGCAAAACUGUGACAAAACACCUUUGCAAAACGUGAUGACCUCAGUUGUACUGUGGUAGAAUAAAACAAAAUCAGAGGUUGGAAAAAAAUGGCAACUCGUGGUAUAAAGAGGUUAAGAAAUUGAAGUAUUAAUAUUCAAGUAAAAUACAUUUAAUAAGUAGGAAAUGAAGUGAAACAGUGUACUCUGAAGCUUAUCAAAGAGUUUACAGGAAGGUUCCUGAAGAUCUGGAGAUCUCCUGAAGGAUCCUGGAGAUCCUGAAGAUCUGGAGAAUUCAACUGAAAAUAGAAAAUCCGUUCUUUUUACCUGAGCCUGUAUCUGUGUAUUUAGGAAUAAACACAGUUUUUGUUUCGUAUUUUUACAACAGCUGUUUGGGUAACCUAAAGCACACAGACCGCGAUGCUGGUAUUUACGAGGCCUGCACUCCAAGGCUGUGAGUGCAACUGGAGCUAAAGGAGCCUUGCUGUUCUGCUGGGGCUUUAUGAAAACUUCAGGAGCAUUUGACAAGUUUUACUCUAUUCAGUGGGAGGAAAAAAGGAAAUGUACUUGUAGUUUUUAAGCUUUACAGAAUGAUUAGGUUUUAAUUUAGCAAAACUAUCCUAGACAAACAUAGUGUAUUUCUUUCUUAUAGUCAAAAUAAGAAGCGCCUAUGGUAGAAAGAGUACUGUGCAAAACUUGCUCUAGUGGAUGUGAGAGCUUUUGAGUCUGACAGUUUAAGUAGCGAAGACGAAAGUGAGGACAGUUCUUGGGCAGGGGACUUGAAGAGGAAUGUGAUUCAUGGGGCAUAGUGACUGGCGUAAUUACCAGUGCAGCUGCUGUAGUAAUUUCUGCCAGUGCUAAAAAAGCCUGUCAUGGCCUGUACUCUGCUGGUCAGAGUGUAAGUGAUAACGAUGGCAGCAGCAGUGCCAACUCCAGGCUGCUGUAUGCGAUUGGAGCAGUUUCUGCUAGGUUUCAAAUUGAUAUAAAACCUUCACAGGAUUUCCUGAAGUGUUCAGGCUGAGGAAAAACUUUGGAAUUGGGAGUGGCAAGGUUUUGUUAUGUGUUUUCUGUGAGGAAUAGUAAGAGUAGUGAUACAGAGGGAUUUAAAUAAUCUGAUAAUGAGUAAAACCUGUCAAAUUCAGGCAAGGAAAACCAAGGACUUGAGCACCUUCAAUUUUAACAUUAUCAGCACAAAAGGUUUGUAAGAAAUCCAUUUGCUUCAGUAUUCUAUUAAAUAAGGUUUUAAACUUUUUGUUCUGAUAGAGCUUUCUGUCAUUCUGUAUUUUUUUAAUCACGUUCUGUAAUCUGAAACAUCUGACUUGUGGUUCAGUGUUUGUUUCCAUUUAAGCCAAGUGACACAUUUCAGAGUUGAUCCAGCAUGGAAUUUGGAGGAAGGAGCUCUUGAAGCACUGGGACAGAAGAGUGGGAAGAAACGUUCUGCUGGACCCAGGCUUCUUUCUCAUGUAAAUGGCUUGACCUAGCGAGGAAAAGCUUUUGCUGAAGAGUGAGGGGAAUUUUGAAAUACUAACCACAAAAUGUUAUUUUCUGUCACUAAUGUGCAUCAUCAAAACUCACUUCUCUAGCACUCAACAAACGUAAUUUGCAUUUAAAAUUGAAGUGGAUUGCCAAAAGUCUUACAUCAGUCUCACAUCAAAGACAGCAGAAUUUCCUAGAAUUCAGGGACUCUGAUACUUACUGUCAGAGCAAUCUGUUUAACUGCCUAGCCCCAACAUCUGCAUUAGCAGCUCAUUGCAUUUCACCUGUGCAGUAGAAAUAAUAAUUUUGUCCUAUUUGAGAGAAGGCUUAGCUUCCUUCCUAGAUGUUCUAAGUGUAAACUGUAAAUACAUAUGCAGUGUUCCUAAUUUCUUUCAGUCUUCCUUAUCCUCUUCAAAGAGUUUCCAGAUCUUGCUCUUUUUCAACCUUUUAUUUACCUUUGAUUUCAUUUCUGCCAUUUCCAUCUCCUGUUCUUAAUAACGUGCCUCCCUCAGAUUGUUGCUGAAGAAUGCCAAACAGUGUUUGUGGCUCGAUUCAAGAAAGAGAUUAAGGAGGAGAUCACAAUUUCCUGCAUCCAAAGUGGUUCAAAAUGUCAUUGAGGGAGAGAGAAAUCUGACCAAUGGAUUGAUAACUGAGUAAUACCUGUGAGAUGUACAAAGCAGGAGGAAGAACUGAGUCUGUUUUAAAGAUGAGUAAAUUGAGAUGAGGUGAUCUGCACAUCAGGUGGGAAACCUGUGUGUGUGUGUGUAUACUUAACAAAUCUGAACGGACAACAAAUUUGCUAUCCAUCUGAAAGUGCCUGGUGCUGCUUGGACGUGCAGGCUGGUCUUUGCAUAUAUCGUGUGUCUUCUGCCAUUUUCAUGCCCAGUUAUAAAAAUAGAUGCAGCUCUUAAGACAUUCAGGAAGAAAAUGAAAAUUUAACAAAUUGAAGACUUGUGCUAGAAUAUGUGGAUGUUGUCUUUGUUGUGAAAAGUGAAAGGGAAGGAAGUAAACUCUUUAGCCUGGAAGUCAAUUUUAAAGAUAAAGUAGAAGGGCAUUUUUAGAAACUUAGAGGGCAGGAUUCUUAGGGAUCUCCACCACAAAUGCCUUUAAAGGGGAGGUAUUUUACUGGAAUAAAUAGAAUAAAUUGGUGCAGAGGAGGAGGCUGAACAGGUCCCAGGUGUGGUGGCCUGGCUCGUAUUGUUGAUGGAAUUGUUGCCAUUGGCUUUGUGAACGUUUUGAUUUUAGCUUGUGAGCCACUUACAGUUCCAUUUCUGCAGUGAGGAUAAAGAACAAUGAACAAAUUUGCACAGAAGCUGCUGGUAGACAUCAGCAGUGAGAUCUAGCCUGGCAUUUAAAUAAAGCCUAAUUAAACAUAUGUUUCUCUGGAAAUGUUUGAGAAUUUCUGCUGGUCACGCUAUGGCAUUUUCCCUUCUAGGUGCAGGUGGAGUUUGUGAUCAGCAAAAGCAGGAGUGUUACAAGCAGUAUGCACUCUGUGUCAUCUGUAGAUGUAAUUCAACUGUUUCAAGUCUGCUAAAACAGUGGUAGCUACAUGGGUGAGGCAGGACUUGGGCAGGUAACAUGCAGUUUUACUUCAGUUGCUGCUGGGGUGAGAGUCCCUACCUCCUUCCCCAUGGGAAGGUACCCUAACCCAGGAACACUUCAUGCAGCACUGAAAUGGAGGCCUUCACAGAAAGAUAAACCUCAGUAUGCUUCUCCAGUGAAAUAUAUUACACAUUUGUUAGUUUUUGGGUAACAGCCAAAUCAUUCCUUGUCCCUCCCCACACACGCUUCCAUUUAUAAAUGAAGUCUUCAGUCUUUUGAAUGUCAUACAAAACUGUUCAAAACCAGACUUGAGCAAUUGAAAUUCAAUUAGUUCAAUCAGAGUGAUUCAAUUGACACAGCUGAGUUCUGCAAUCUGAACAAAAGAUUUUGCUGUAAUUGUGCAGGAAUAUAUAAAUGCUGAUAUGAUUGUCUUGUCCUCAGCCCUCCAGAAGGAUGUAUUGCAUUUUAAAACUUACUGGCAUACACCCCAUUUUCUACUUGAUGCUUCUGUGGUGCCUCGGCCCCUCAUAAAAUUGGAGGUGAACAAAAUCCAGUGAAAUACAAGGAAGUGUGUUUCCUGUGGGCAAGCCUGCUGAAUGUUAGGCAUUCACAUGUAAUGUAUUGCUAAAUUUGGUGAAUCCGUUUGGACAUCCAUUCCGUCUUGAGACAGAUGAUCUUGUAAUAGCCAUUUGCAGAUGAUAUUUCUGAUGAAUCAUUUGAGGUUGUGAUUCACAGCUUGACUGUAGUGAUGUUCAAAUCAAAAAAAUGUGC